UAGCGUCGUUGUUGUUGUGAGAAGUUCAUUAAACCUUAUCAUUUAGAGGAAGGAGAAGUCGUAACAAGGUUUCCGUAGGUGAACCUGCGGAAGGAUCAUUG
rnacentral:rRNA from 1 species